UUCGUUCUAUUCAAAAUUGAAUCAUUUGCUCUCCAAAACUGAUUCUCGAUAUUUUGAAACUCAUUUUUAUCUAGAAAUACCUAUCCAUUUCAAACUCGAUAUUUCAGGUCAUCAAUCGGAAAAUGGGACAAUCGACUAAUCUUCCGAAAUCAAAAGUACCAAACGACCUGCUGCCCUUUACUCGGAUAUUGAGUCCGACGCUGCCACCUUGGAGGCCCGGAGUAUACAGGAGCUAAUGGCCGCAGCGCAUGAAGUAAGGGAAACAACAUCUGCAUUCUUUACACUAUUAAAGGAUGCGCCACCGCGAUGAUGGAGCUUUUGGAGUUGUCACAAGCUCAAGCUCAACCACGAAAUGGAAAGGAAGUAGAUCUUGUGUCAAUGCUGAGACAGGCAAUGAAGGAUGAGGAGUUUGAUUGUCUGGAAUGGAUUGAGGCCAUGGAAUACAUAGUGAAGAGGCCAUAGAACACAGAUCUGAAUUUAUGCGAAACUUUCGCAUGCCAAAGGAUGAGGUUCCUGAGCCCGUGGGCGGGAGCGGGAGAGUUGGGGAUGAUGAUGUUGUGGCUACAAAUGCUAUUGAGGUGAAUAACAUUAUUCAAAUUAGAUUUAGGGUGUCCACAAUAAGGCGGACACCCUAAUAGUCUCGCCCCAGUUUUUGUCCAUAGCCCCAGUUUUUUUGUCCAUAGCCCCAAAAUUUUGUUUCCGCCCACUAUGGUGGACACCAAUAGCCCCAAAAUUUUUAUUUUAAUGUUUCAAGCAAUUACGAAUAAAUUUAUCGGACUAUACAUAAUUAGAAGAAAACGACUAUACGUGAAGAAAUUAGAAUUAAACUUAAAAUUAUAAUUAUAAUUAUAAUUAUAAUUAUAAUUAUAAUCAAAAAAUUCGCCGCCCUACUGCCGUGUCCGCCCACGCUCCACUAUAGGCGCCCCGCCUAUCCGCAGCGUCCGCCCCGGAGUCGCCGCGUCCUCGCCCCAAACUCGCCUAUCCGUCGUUCGCCGCCCACCGCCCCAAAUUCGUCGUCCGCCCCGUGGGCGGACACCUCCGCCACUAUGGACAGCCCCGAGCUAGCCCAGCCACGCCUAACCAUUGUGGUUACUCUUAGGCAUUCAUAAUUUAUUACUAUAACAUGUUCUUUGUUUUUCAGGCUGAACAAGAUGUUCCUGAGGCUGAUAAUCAUGACUCAUGAGGUAAUAUUAAAUUAAACAUACAGAUUAUAUUUUGAAAAACAAAUUGUGUUUUCACAAACAUACUGCAAACAUACUGAUCAUAUCAGGUUUAGUUCCAUCCGAUGAUCGUUUUGGUUAAGGAAAAACAUUGGAGGUGAAUGAAGAAGAAGAACAGAAUAUUUUGGAUCCAUUAUAAAGAUGACCAGAAUUGUAUGCUUUUGCUUAAUAUGUGGCAAUCAUACACUAAUUAAUAUGUUUAACUCAUGUCAUUUUCAAUGUUUUAGACUCAAUCCACUAUCUGCUUUUGUUGAGACACUUUUCUUACUAGUGUAUCUAAAACUUUUGUUAUUCUAA